UACGUAGGUGGCAAGCGUUGUCCGGAAUUAUUGGGCGUAAAGCGCGCGCAGGCGGUCCUUUAAGUCUGAUGUGAAAGCCCACGGCUCAACCGUGGAGGGUCAUUGGAAACUGGGGGACUUGAGUACAGAAGAGAAGAGUGGAAUUCCACGUGUAGCGGUGAAAUGCGUAGAGAUGUGGAGGAACACCAGUGGCGAAGGCGACUCUUUGGUCUGUAACUGACGCUGAGGCGCGAAAGCGUGGGAGCAAACAGG
rnacentral:rRNA from 1 species